UUCCCGUCUCUCUCUCUACACCGCUCACACUCUCUCCCCCUCUCUCUCUCUGUUACUCUCAGUCAAAGGCAGGAUUCUCCGUAACCAGCUGGAGCUUAUUGCAAUCCUCAUCAUCAUUUCAUUGAUGUUCUCUCUUUUUUCCCCCCUUUUUUUAAGCUUUUUUUUUUCCCUGGAUUUGUAUUUCAGCUUCCGAUGUCACGGCUGACAUCAUCUGCUUGGAUGCUACAAGAAGGUGCACAAAGGUUGUAGAGAAUGGAAGAGAACUUUUACUGCUUCAAUCAGUGUACCUUUCUUGUGACUGUCGACACUUCACAUCUGAUAAUUUCCCUGGGAGACCAGUCAACAGUGGACGUGGAUUUGUUGUAAUGAAUGACUCAUUUAGGUUAUCUCCCCUCCUCAAGACUGCUCGUGACAGAAUUCUUUUUCUUCUUUUUUCAUUCCACCUGUAUGUUUCACCUCUAAGUUACUCUGUAAAAUAUGUGGGGACUUUUAUGGCGUGUGAAAUUUUUUCACUAAGUGUGAAGUUUAGAGGACCAAAGUGAGACAAAGCAUGGCUCAUGGAACCGCAGCUGAGUGUUGAACGGUUCUGUCAAAGACGACAGUGCAGGCAUGGCAACAGUGCCCAUGGAACCCGUAGGAGUCCUGGUGGAGAAGAGCGCCAAUGCUACUGACACCCCUAUGAGCUCGCAUGAGGAUUCAGCUGCCACCUUUACCAUCGGGACCAUCCUCUCCAUCAUGUGCCUCAUUGGAGUCUCAGGGAACAUCUACACUCUGGUGGUCAUGUGCCACUCCAUGAGGACUGCAGCAUCCAUGUACAUCUAUAUUAUAAACUUAGCUUUGGCAGAUCUCCUGUACCUUCUCACGAUCCCUUUUGUGGUCUGCACACAUUUUCUAAAGGGAUGGUACUUUGGACAUGUGGGGUGUCAGAUCCUGAUUAGCAUGGAUUUCCUGACCAUGCAUGCCAGCAUCUUCACACUGACAAUCAUGAGCACUGAGCGCUAUUUUGCGGUGCUCAAGCCACUCGACACAGUCAAGCGGUCUAAAAGUUACCGGAAGGCUAUCGCUUUGGUGGUGUGGAUAGCAUCACUAAUUCUCACCCUACCAAUGAUUGUGAGCAUCCAGCUAACGACGGUGGGCUCCAAGGCUAUGUGUCAGCCCACUUUAUCCCCUCUGUCUUACAAGAUUUAUCUUUCCUUCCUUUUUUGCACGAGCAUUGUUGCUCCAGGACUGAUAAUUGGCUAUCUCUACAUCCAACUAGCACGCACAUACUGGAUUUCACAAACGGAAACAUUCAAACAGACAAAGAAACUACCUAAUCAAAAGGUGCUUUAUCUGAUUUUCACCAUCGUACUCCUCUUCUGGGCAUGCUUCCUUCCUUUCUGGAUCUGGCAGCUGCUCGGACAGUUCAACCCCUCAUUGUCGCUCUCCACCAAAGCCAAACGCAACAUCAACUACCUUACUACAUGCCUGACAUACUCCAACAGCUGCAUCAAUCCGUUCCUCUACACGCUGCUCACCAAGAACUACAAGGAAUACCUGAGGAAGCACAAGCGGUCGUGGGCGGCUGGCAGCUACUUCAGCCGUCGGAGUCGUUUUCAGCGUUCGCCACGGAGGUCGCCAUCCGCCAGCAGUCAGCAGUGUACCGAGAGCUUCAUGCUUACCCACACAGCUUCAUUGCGAGCUCAUAACAGCAGUUUGUGAGUGCUCCUACCUGACAGUCCUGGGCAUUGCCAUCCUCUACCAACCCCGGGAGGGCCCCGCACUGAGCUCAGAUAAACUGAGCCGAGGACGAAAAAAAAAGGAGAGAAGGACCUGCUGGGGACACGAAUGGAUGCACAUCCUGAGCUCCUUAUCAACGACGAAAGAGGACGAUGACGACAGAAGUUUCAUUUUGUAUCUGCUUGUCAAUGUGCGUGGAGACAAUGGUUUUGUGUGCACACCGGCAGAACUGAGUGACUGGUAACAGGUCGCUGCUGCAAGAGACUGUACAAAGCUGGCAGUCUCACUCCUGUAUUAUUCACUUCUAGAACUUCAUGUGGCAUGAACAUAGAGGUCUCGUGUUUUAAGCAGAACCAGUUAAACUUUAAUGAUUUUCUCUUGUGUUUAACGUCUGGCCACCUCAUGGCGCGUUGGGUCACCCUGCAUGCAAAAGUGUCUUUUGAAACCGUUUCUGUUCACAAAAAUGUAAUUAUUCUCUAAAUGCACAAGGAAGGUAAAAUAUUACUGACGCAUAUUUGAGACAUCUGUGACUUUAUUUUAUUGUUAUUUUUAAAAGGGCAACAAUAUAGUUACAACAGUAAAGCUAAAAUGAAAUAUUUGAUGGCUUCAGCUGCAGCAUGCGAUAGCUUAAGGGGGACAUAAUGAAUGUUAUUUAAAGACCUUUUAAGGGAACAAAAUCAUUUUCAUUCUGGUUAAGAAAUAAACGGCCGAGUGGAUUCCCAUCUCAUAUCUUUAAAUGUAAAUGUGUUUGCAGCUCAUUAUUGCAAUAAUGUUUGAAAGAAGGAAACUACAAGGCUGGCGAAAGCAACAAAAUUCAUGACUCCGUUCGUUAAGUAGCGCCUGAUUUCCCGUUUUACCGAGGGGGCAACAUUUGGUUUUCAAGCUGUCACGAAUGUUGAAGUCCGGAAACUUGCCCCAGAUCAGCUGACUUUAUGCUGCCCGCUCGUCAUCGCUUUGGCUGCCUGCUCAGGUUAAGUGCCCCCCAGUAAGAGGCCACACUGGAAGGGUCCGGGUCAUGGCUGCCGAGGCUAGGCUGGAGCUUGUUGGCCAAAGUCAGUCGAGGUUCCAGCAGUCCUCAAUUUGGUUCCAACAGAACUCGUUUUAGAUAUUGGGACUGAAAUGACAUCUGAAACCAGGAUAGAUUUGAUGAGAAGCAAUGUGGGGUAUAUUUAAUUAGGUAAACAUGAGUUAAGCUAAACCUAAAUAGGUAGCAUGUGGUGUAAGUUGAGUUUGAAGCCACUCUAUGUAGCAAUACCACUCCUGACCACAUGGGGGCAUAUAAAUCUCCAGUGCUGCCAAAGAACCACUACAAUACUAUGCUAAUGACAGGGGAUGGUCCGGCACAACAUCACUUCAUCCUGUCUUACACCAGAGGCUGACAUAUGAACGUUCUCAUGGUACGCUGCCCCCAAUAGGUCAGAAGUGGUAUUUCCUAUUUGCUGAUAGUUGGAGGUCAAAAUUGCACAUUUUUUGAGACCAAUUUGCAACCAAUUUCAGUGAUGUGAAUGUGAAUGCAAAACAGGUCUGAGUUUUGGAUGCUGAUCCUGUUUCUGAAAAGUUGUUAAAAAGAGUUUUAAUUAGACAAGCCAUUUCCCAGCAACGCCCCAGUUACGCUUGUUGCCCAACGAUUAUAUUCUGAUGUAGGAAUAUAAAGUAACAACAAACUUCCGAUCAGAACAGUACUUUUCAGAACAAGGCCAAAUUUUGUGAAUUUUCAUCCAUAGGGAGCACUAACAUAACAUAUGUCAUGAAACCAUUGAGAUAGAAAUCUUACAUUUGGUAUACAGUACAAUAACAAGGGUUCAAUUGUUGGCAGGACUCAAAAUCCCAAUUAGUUAGCACUAAUUCGGCAUUUUGAGAGUUAAACAUUACCAUAAUUCUUAGUUCCUCUGAUCCCAUGUAUUGUGCCAAAUCAAACAGCUUUACAAUCAUUUCAUUUCCCUCGGUGGUUUUUACCAGCAUCAUCUCAUGAAAAGGGGAGGAAAACAAUCGCUUCCAAGGCGCUUCCUCCAGUUGACAGGAAAUUGGAGGUCUAUCAUCUCUAGACAGCACGGAUCAAAAGUUAUUAAAAGAAAGUGAUUAAUCAUCUCUCCUAAAGUUACAGGUUGUCACUGAUUUGUGUAGAAAUGUUUAGUAUUAACAUAUAUACUUAUCUUUUAAACCCAUGAUUUUUUUAAAUCGAAAAGCAUCUCUUGGAUCUUGGAGCUAAAUCAACAAAUUAUGCCUUUUUUUCACUGAUUUGCAUUUUAUUCCCUCAUGUCAUUAGGUCUGAAACUAUCUUGUAUUUUUCUCACUUCUAAAAAUGACCCCAAAAUCAUAAAAAAAAAACCUCAUCUCAAAUGUCAAGCAAAUGCAAUUACAGUGAAAUGUUGUUCUUCGGCACCACUUCUGCUCUCUAAUGAGAUCAACGAGCUAAAACACACCACUGAGCCACACAGCAACACUUUUUACUGAGAAUGCACAAAAUAUGAUUUAUUUUGAUUCAAACCCACUUAAUGCUAUAAAUAUUUAGCAGAGCUCUUUGAUUAAUUUGUAGCUUUUAAAAAAUGGCUUUAUAAGUGAUAGCAGAAACAUUCAUUAUUUGUUUUAGCAUCUUCGCAUGAUUAUUGCAUGUUUCUUUUACUUUAAAACAAUAGAAAGCUGCUUUGAACAUUUAAAAAUGGAAAAAAGGAUUAACUAUAACAGGGGGCCAGCCUUUGUAUGUGGACACCAUGUGUGCAAAGAAAGCUGAAAAAGCAGAUCAUAACCAAGUGCAAACAUUAAGGAUGUGAGUCUGAAUUAAAAGUAGUUAGCAAGGAAAUUAGAAGACGAUCAUUUUCAUUGGCAAAGAUAUUCUUGCUCAAAAUAAGACAAUUUGACUGCUUCAUGGAAUAUACGGGUUAUUUCUAGGUCAUUUCUAAUUUGAAUCUGGUUCCAUAUAAUCAUACACAGUAACCCAAGCAGUUGCUAAAUAGCAGAAACGACAGCUACCUUUUAUGACGAUUCUCUCAGGUCUCUCACGCAACUUUGAUGUCCCUGCUGUAAUCCUAGGCUAGUUUGAUCAUCAUAGAAGACAUUUUGAGAACAAAAUGAAUACAGAUCUUAUCAAUGGAGCUGCAGGUUGGAGUAAAGUUGUUACAUCUCUAUUGAUUUAACUCACCGUGCCACAGAAGACAAUCUGCAAUCAUGUGCUGGCUGAUGCAUAUUUAACAGAGCUGUCCUUUGAAGAUGGAGGAUUCUGGCUGAUUUGUAUGUAGGAAAUGUCCAAAAUUCAUACAAAUAUCAGAGGGAUCUAAAUAUGUUCAAUAGGGUUCUGUAGAUGGAGCGUUCUGGGCAGGAGUCUAUGUAGAAACACAAGUCAAUUCUGAUAAAUAUACAGUAAGAUAAAGGCAGAUAAAUAAAGCCGUGGACUCAUUGGUCUGCCUGAAAGCCAGAAAAGUGUGGCAAAGUUUAUUUGCUGUCUCUGUGGUUUGACUGAGCAGCAGGUUGCUUGGAAUACAAGCAAAAAUUAAAGCUGCAAGCAGUGAUGAACGGGCCCUCGCACCCUUGUGCAUGUUCACACGUGCUGCAGUGGAAGCGCUUGUAUGACUUGCAUGUAGAUGUCUUCAGGCCUGGACAUUUAGCGGAUGACACCAGCCACGACUCUCUAUAUCAAACCAUUCAAAAGUUAUGGCAGAGAAUAGGGACUAUCAAAUAUCGACCAAUCAGAAGAAGGGGCUAAUUUGCACCAAUUAUGGUCAAGGACUCAAAACCGAGUCCGAUGACACCACCCACGACUCUUUAUGUAAAACCAUUCAAAAGUUAUGGCAGAAAGUAGGAACUAUCAAAUAUGGACCAAUCAGAUGAAGGGGGGGGGCGGGCUUUUUGGUGUCUAUCGUCGCCACGGUAAUGCUUUUGACUGAGAAAAGUAAUGUGCAUCGUUGCAGGAUCAAGACGCACAUUUUGAUGUAUAACACACCUGGGUGCACGUUACGGUUCGGGCGAAGAAGUGGCCGAAGAAAUGGCAUAAAUUGCGCCAAAAUUACACGAUUAAUUCAAAAUGUCCGACUUCCUGUUCGGUUUCGGCCAUGGCGCCAAGAGACUUUUCUUUAAGUUGUGACAUGAUACAGGUGUGUACUGAUUUUCGUGCAUGUACGUCAAACCAUAUUGUGGGGCUUGAGGCACGAAGUUUUCUAGGGGCGCUGUUGAGCCAUUAGGCCACGCCUAUUAAUGUAAAUCAUUAAAUAUCAAAUUUUUUGCCAGGCCUGGCUUGUGUGCAAAAUUUGGUGACUUUUGGGGCACGUUUAGGGGGGCAAAAAGGUCCUCAUUUCAUCUGAAGAAGGAGAAAAACGAGAAAAAAAAUUCCUACAGAUACAAUUGGGCCUUCGCACUGUCAGUGCUCGGGCCCUAAAAAUAGACUCCAACACUAUGCAAGGAUACGAGCUCCAGUCCUGAAUUUUAUUCACCAACUGAGGGCUCAGAUAUAGCUUUGAAUUUUCUUGUGAAUCUGCAUUGUGGAACUUCCACAUUAUCAUUCAUGGCGAGGUGUGAUUUUAAAUAACAAGUACAUUCAUAUUGUAAUCACAAACUAAUUGUCUGCACUAACUGCAGAGACAGAUAGCUGAAAUGGAAAAGCAACGCUCAGUGGACUGUGCAGGAAACUCAUAGUUAUGCAUUACUGUACAGUAUGUUUGUGCAGACAUUAACACAUACAUUUGUUUUGAUUCAGCUUCUCUUGGCUCGAAGUCAAACUCUACUCUAAAUAAUGAACAAAGCGCCACUUCAUCCACUUUGCAGAUCUAAUUUAGUUGACUUGUAAUAGGCAGAAAUGCUCAGUCUGUGACAACAACUGCUUUUGUUAGAGGCAACGUUCCAGAAAUAUGAUAAAAAUAAACUUCAUUUUUAGAUCUGUAUUCUGUUCGGUUUUAGAUGCUCCAAAUCCAGAUUGUUCCGGGAUUACAAGCAAGAGCCUCAGUGGUUGUAAGAUUGAAGCUGUAAUGAUGAAACAAAAAGGAAAUGAGAGAAUCCGGCAUACGGGACCAAAUAGGACUCUGCAGCUUUACAGAUAUUUCAUGUGCUAAUCUGGUCCUGAUGUGCCUGCCAACUUAAUGACAUUGGUUUCUUCAACAUUUUUUAUGUAUGAAAAAUUUUCUUGUUUAAUAUAGGAGAAAAGGACCAAUUAUGGACCAAAAUUACAAACAUAACCAUAGCAAAUUAUCCAAAUAUCUCAAGUAUAGGGACAGCGAGUGAUAAGAACAGCAAACCAUGAAAUCUCUAUUUGAGGCUACAGUUUAAAGAGUGAAACACAUCAUGCAACGACACAAGGGAGGGGAAAAAAGACAGAGUGGGGGGGAAAGUCAAUUAAAAGGUAUGUUUAAUUAAGUAGUGUUUGACAGAGACCAACUCUAAUUCCAUUAGUGCGGACAAAUAGAAAGUCCACUUUUCUCUCGAAACAGAAAACAUUUAUUUUGCAGACGCUACUCACAGAGGCUGCAGGUCCUGAUCGCCAACACAGAUUUACUGACCAUAUUUUCUAAUUUUGUUAUUUUCUUUAAACCCAUAUCUGCAUUUCCACUUGUUACAAAUAUUACUUCCAUUAGUGCAGUAAUGUAGUUCCUCUGUGUUUCACAAUUUGUGCACAUUUAUACUACUAUGCUUUCCAGUACUGCAGGAAAAAUGAUUCCCCCUUUGCUUUUGUAAACACAACAGAAGAUGAUAUCAGAGGCUCUGCUACAUCGCUCUUCAGAAAGUAGUGGAUAUAAUAAUAAAGGCUUCUCCAGAAAGCAGCGGAAUAUUUUAGGCAUAUUUUAAAAGCAGGGAAGAAAUAGGAAAGCUUCCAUCCCACUGUCAGACAUACAAGUCGCAUACACUCACUGGCUACUUUGUUAGGUGCACCGGACAUGCACCUCACAUAAUGAAGCAGUGAAUGAGGCCUGAAAGCAGUCUGAGAGUGUCUGAAUCCAUGUGUUUACAUGCUCACUUGUCUUAUCUGAUCUAUGCCACACAGGAGAAAAAGAGAAAUCUGAAUUUAGUUGCUUUAACCAUGCACUGUAAAUGUAGCCAGUGUAUCAAAACAGAACACAAAGUCAAUCUGGGGUGGUACAGCCUCAUGCUAAAUCCACAGAAGGCCACAAUUAGGGGGCAGAUUAACAGAAACAGACCUGCUAGAAACGGCUUUACUUGAUACAUUUUUGCACAAUCCAGGCACUUUGUAUAAAGGAGUGGGGAAGGGAAAGGUUAGAAAGCAUAAGUGCAUGUGUUUCUAUUAUCGCUUCAUGUCUUUGCUUAUCAGAGAUGUCCCCAGUGAUAGAGCUGGUGUGUUUCAAUGCACCUUAACAUGAGAUACUGGACUAGGAACUAAAACUAAGGGCAAAAUGUAGCCAAGUUAUUCACUAAACUUCUCAGACUCUGUAGUAUGUUAUACACACAGCGUUUAUACAUUUAAUCCCUUCCCAUUGGUAUAAUAUACAGUAUGUUGUUCUUAAAUUAACUUAUGAAAGAUCAAUCACAUCCAAGCCUAAAUAUAUUUGCUCUCAAAAGUUGUCAACUGGAUUUCUUCAAUUACAUCACAUGGUCAUUUAAAUCAUUUUUGUUUAACUUGUCUCAAUCAAAUGAUGCUUUAAUUUACAAGGUUAAGAAGAGACUUUUCAGUUCAUGGUAAUGCAGCUGAUUGGGACUUUCAUCUUGUAAAUGAUACUCAAGCAAUCAUUAUUAACUACAUUGUCUCAUCUCCACCUACCUAAUAAAAGGUAUGAUUUAAAAAGAAAAAAAAACAAAAAAAAAGGAUCUCACACACACAUACACACGCCGUCCAGUUUGGGGUUUGUCUGUCCUUUGCUGAUGUUGUAUUUAUAUUUAAUUGCUCUGUGUGGCUGACACAGCACCAAGAGCUUCUGUAAAUUACAGUGCAAAACUGAUGCUCUGAUUGUGGUAUCUUCUGUCUGCCGAAAACAAUGAGUGAUGUAAAAUAUGUGCACUCUUAUUAAAGAAACUGUUUCACCUC